GAGGUGGAGAAGAGGGGAAGAGAAAAGAGGGAGUGAGCGAGCAGCUGAGUCCUGGAGCCUGGAGUGAGAGCGUGGAAGAGUGAGUAGUGAGUGUUAGUGUGUGGAACUGAGACUGAGAAGGAGUAUUGUGGUUGUUGCGUGUGAUGUGAAAGAGUGGGCUGAGGAUGAGAAAGGCGGAGGUAUUAAUGCGCAAGGGUAAAAGGACGGUCGCAGCCUUGAUUUUGGCGGAAUGUGUCUCCUGCUCGAGUGCGGCGAGUUUGAGUGUUUUGUUGGACCAUUUGCUGUGCCCGGAGACUGAUUUGAGUGAUGCGGAGUGCCUGGACUGGUGCCGGUGGCUGGUGGGCGGGGGCGAGACUUUCGAGGCCUUUUCUCGUCGAGUGCGGAGGUUCGACUACACGGAGAAGUGUGGUUUGGUGUGGACUGCAGACUUUGUGGCCUUCCGUUGUCGUACGUGCGGCAUCUCGCAGUGCAUGUCGCUGUGCGCAGAGUGCUUCCAAGAGGGGAACCACGAGGGCCACGACUUCAACAUGUUCAAGAGUCAAGCGGGCGGGGCCUGCGACUGUGGGGAUGCUUCCGUCAUGCGGCCGGAGGGCUUUUGCAGCAAGCAUCGACAGCCCCCGGACUCUGCCUCGCCUUCUCCUCCAGAAGAGCUCCUCCUCGUGGCCUCGCUGCUCAUGCCACGAGUGAUCCUGCGCCUGGUGCAACACCUGCGCGUCAACGCCGUGGCUUCCUCAACUUGCCCCCCUUUGUCCCCUAAGGAAACUCUAGCGAGAUAUGAGAGAACGAUCCAGACAGCAGAGGGCCUCUUGGUCUUGCUCCAUGACUUCUCCUCCUUGGGUGCGGCCAUGCGAGUUGUCAUGACUCAUUCUCUUAUUGAUCCACAACUCUACUCUUCGCUCACGAGUAUUAACAGUGAUUCGGAGAAUGUUAACUUUAUGCGUAAAAGUCAAAACUUAUAUGAAGAUGCAAUAGAAGAUCUUCCAAAUAUAGCUUCUGAUAUUCCUAUAGAACAUAAAGACUAUAUCUCUGAUGAAAAACUCAAACAUCAGACAUUCCUAGAAGAACUUGUAUUUUGGACAGUUAAGUAUGAAUUUCCUGAGCUUCUAAAUUGUCUUCUACUUAAAAUGUUACCUGAUGCUACCUACAAAGAAGCGUUUACGCGUAGCUUUGUUAUGCAUUAUUCUCGAGUAUCUCAUACACUAAGUCAAUCAUCCAACUCUGAUCGUUUAUCUAAUCGUGUGGUGCACGUAUCUGUUCAAUUAUUUUCAAAUAAAAAACUUGCUCUCAGUAUGACAGAAAAUUUUCAACUACUUCAUGUGAUGGUUUCUUCUCUAGUUUAUAAUAUGAUGUCCAAAGUACUAAUCAAAUGUACAUUACAUAGUCCUAGAAGUGAUCAUAUGGUCGUGGAUUGUAUGAAUCAUAUUACCAAAGAUCAUUGCUAUUGGCCACUCGUAUCUGAUUUGAGUAAUGUUUUAUCUCACCAGCCCAUUGCUCUAAAGUUUAUGUCUGAUAAUGGUCUGCUUUCGAUGUGGUUUGGCUUUCUUCAAAUGUUACAAGGCAUGAAUGUCAAUGAACGGGAACUAGACGCUCAUAUCGAAUUUGAGCCUUCUACGUAUUAUGCUUCUUUUUCAGCUGAACUGGAGGCUUCUGCUUCACCUAUGUGGGCUCUUAUUAGUCAUCUCAAAAAUAAAGAAACUGGACAGUAUACUGCAAAUGUAAUUAAGCAUUGUGUUGUAGCACUAAUGGAAUGGUUUAAAGUGAAUAAUUUUACUUCUCCAAAUCAAUGCAAUAUAUUUAAGGUGUCAUUCCACAUACCUCUUCAUAGAUAUUUUUCGAUGUUUGUCCGACAAGGAGUUAUUUGCCAUGGCUUCUCCUUAAAAGAACUUCUACCAGAACCCGAAAUCUUAUCUUUAGUGAUGGCUCAUCCCUUAAGAGUACAAACAGCUUUUUAUGAAAUAAUGUGUGGUAUAUGGGUAAGGAAUGGUCUUCAAAUCAAGGGUCAAGCUAUGACGUAUCUACAGUGUCAUUUUUGCAAAUCUAUGGUGGAUGCCGAUAUAUUUCUUCUUCAGGUCUGUGCUACUCAAUUACCUCCUUUGCAUUUUCUGUCUACAGUUCUUGAACGAUUUCAAAUGGAUGACUGGUUGACUUUUUCGUCUGCAAAUAAAAACAAUCGUGUUAGAAUAGAUAGGGAACAAGUCAUUCCAAUGAUCGAAUCAUGUUUAACAUUCAUCGUGUCGCUUUUAGUGUUAAGAUCUAAUUUGGGGCUCUCAGAAACGGAUCUAGCUCGGCUGGAAAUGGUCACACUACUUUGCAUGGGAGACAAACAACAUUCAAAGCUUUUUGAUUCAAUUCCAGAAAAAUCAGCCAAUCCCAUUCACAUUGAAUUGUUUGAUAAAGUUUUGUUGGAAGUAGGUCAAUAUCGCGAGCCACAAUUUGAAGCUGGAGGAAAUAUGCAACAAGGAAUAUAUCUACCAAAACCAAAUGUUUGGGAUAAUUUAUAUGAUCCCAUUUACGUUCUUCUUCGAGCAGUACAUCGCAGAGAUUUUCAAACGUCCAUUGAUAGGUUUAAUGAAUAUGCCAAAAACAAGUAUUCUAAUGAUCCUGAGAGACUGAAAACAAUCAACAAUCUAUGGCCGCCAUGGAGACUUCCAUCGCCAUGUCACAAGGGAUUUGAUGAUCCUAGAAGAUUGCUUCAUUCUAGAUUUUUUCAUGGCCUUAUUUUUAAUAUUUUAUACAAAGCAGUUCAUGAUGAAGAAGUUAUGGUUUCUGAGCAUGUAAUAUCUCUAACUAUUUUCUUACUUGAGUUAGCUCUUACAUAUCCUCAGGAUGGCUAUUCUGGGAGGGAAAUUGCUAUAAGUAAGCCCUGGCUUAUCGUCCAUAAACCAACAGAUUUGAAGUAUGAUACUUGGUUCCCAACAGACUGGCUCUCUGCAAAUUUAAGGCACGUUGUUUCAGCCUUAUUCAUUCCCCCUAUAACUGGUGACUUGAACGACCCCAGCAAAUCGAACUCUAUUGUACCUACAAAUUUUCAAGACAUUAUGCCUUCCAUGCAAAUGGAAGUGGAUAAUAUUGAUAGCUUAAAUAGUUCGGCUUCUUCAACCUCUGGAUCAAAUUUUUUUACUUCUCCUUCUCCUUUUAUUAUGCCGAAAAAUGCACUUACUUAUUUUUAUUCAACAUGUUCAAUGACACUUGAUAAUAGAGGUGUUGUAAUGUCAAAUACCAAAGAGCAUUCGAAAAUACCUUUCGCAAAUAAGAAUAAAUACUCUGUCUCUCUGCAAGGCCAGGGUGAAAAUUACUUAUCGACAUCAUGUCAGUCUGUUAUUGGAAUAAAUGAAAGUAUCAUAACACUUUUGCUUAAACUCCAUUCGAAACUAUCAAAAAUUCCUGAUUCAUAUAUACCUAUACAUAAUAGGACUGGUGUAUCUACAACCUCUAGUUAUCGUGGCUCUCGAAUAGGAAAUGGUUGUUUUUUUAUAGAAAAAGUGCUAGAUUUAAUUGUUGAAUUUGAUGAAAUGUGUAAGCAGUCUGUUUCCGCUAGUAGGACUCAAAUUUGGCCAUCGUAUCAUAACGACGAAGCAGUUAAAGAACAAAGCUUUGAGCGCAAAGAAGCAGAAAUAAGAAGGAAAAGAGCAAAACAACGACAAAAACAAAUGAUGGAGGAACUAGUAGCUCAGCAAAGACGAUUUAUGGCUAACGUUAAUAGAGGGAAUGAAAAUAUAAGUUUAUUUGACGCCGAAAGCGGAAGUAAAAUGCCAUCAAAUAAUACAUCGAUCUCAAAUCAAUUUUGUUCUACCUUUUCUUCUAACGAAAAACGAGAGGUAUAUGAUUGUGUUCAUUGUCAUUUGACAACAGUCUCAACAGAGGAAAAGCCUAUAGGCUUAGUUGUUCUACUUCAAGCUACUUCUGUUUUAUCUCAUAUGCAUUAUGAAUCAAGUAAAUUGAUUUUACCAACAUGUGAUGAAGAACAGUACUUACUAAACACUCAUUCUCUCGGUAUUGAGUAUGAAAAUCAAUUUCAGGAACUUUCUCGGCAUUUUAGCUCAGACUCAUAUCUUCUUGCUCAAACAAGAGGAUGGGCAGGUGGUAUUCAUAUCCAAUCAUGUGGGCAUAGAGUUCACUUGUCUUGUCGGCAAAGUUAUAUGGAACAUUUAAGAUCACAGCAACGUUCGGAGAACAAUCACGUAUUGGACGUCGAGCAUGGGGAGUAUAUGUGUCCCAUGUGUCGGCAAUUAGCAAAUUCAAUUUUACCGAUCCCUCCUAAUAUUGAUGAAUCUUCUUCGUCAUUUAAUAGCCCUUCAUCGGAGGAGGAGCUUACUAAAUUAGCUGAACAAAUUUUAUUUUUAUCAAAUGAGAAGUCAAUUUUUGAAGACAAUAGGUUUGAUACAUCUAGUUGUUCAAGAGGAGCUUCAAGUAUGACUCCACUGAAGAGAGCAAUGUCCCAAUUAAUGGAGCAGUUACCAAAAGCAACACUUCUACAGUAUCAACCUUCUAGUUCAAAUCGCUCAGCUCAUGUUAUUUUUGUUUUUGUGAGUUCUAUUGCCAGAAUUAAUCUAGAAUUGGACUUGGUUCAACGAGGUGGUACUUUAAUUGGAAAAAACAAUGAAGUUCAAAGCCCAUCUACUGGAGUAAAUCCAUUCAAAACUUGCUUUGUUCCUUUGCUACAUGUAUUAUCGAAUCACGUAAAAACAACAUGUCCAAUCGAUCUAUCUCGCGAGUGGAUUGGAAUAACUGGCUUAGAAUCGACUUUAAAUUCUUCUCCUAACUAUUCAAAAACUGUACCUUUGCUUCUACAAGACUGUACGACUUUAUUUUUACAUUUUUUAUUGAUGUUACCGAUUCAACUAGAUAUUGUUCUCUUUGAAACUCUGACCAAAGCCCACUUUAAUUUGCAACUUAUUCAGAGUAUGGCUCGUACAUCAUGUGCAAUUACUGAUGUGGAGAGAGAACAUAUGAGAUUUUAUUCGUUAAAAUCUUGUGUUCCCAGUACAUUUCCUGAGUACCUUGGUCGGAUAGUGGAGUAUCUUGGAACUAGUUCUUUAUAUAAUAAGGAAUGUGUGAAGCUAUACGCCAUUCAUUUGAUUGUGGUGCUGGCACUGCUAUGUUUUUGGCUGUAAAUUCAUCCUAUAUAGUUGUUGUUCGAGGUAGACGUGCUUGUGUAUGGGGUUCCAUUUACUUAGAUUCUUUUGGUGAAGAAGACAAAGAAUUAAAGCGGGGAAGGCCUUUAUUUUUAAAUGAUGAACGAUAUAAUUUACUUCAGCAACAAUGGAUAAAUCACCGUUUUAGUCAUAAUAAUCGAACAUGGAUUUGGCAUUGGAAUCAACUAUAGAAUAAAGUUGGCUUUUCAAAAAUAAUUUUCAAAGAUUAAUUGAUGCGCUAUAUACAAAUGUACAUAUAGUGUAUGGUACUUAUGAAAAAAAAAUAUGUAUAUAUUUUUAUUAUGAAGUCUAAAAUAUAUUUUGAUUUGUAUUCACUA
rnacentral:misc_RNA from 1 species